UACGAAGGGGGCUAGCGUUGCUCGGAAUCACUGGGCGUAAAGGGUGCGUACGCGGGUUUUUAAGUCAGGGGUGAAAUCCUGGAGCUCAACUCCAGAACUGCCUUUGAUACUGAAGAUCUUGAGUCCGGGAGAGGUGAGUGGAACUGCGAGUGUAGAGGUGAAAUUCGUAGAUAUUCGCAAGAACACCAGUGGCGAAGGCGGCUCACUGGCCCGGUACUGACGCUGAGGCACGAAAGCGUGGGGAGCAAACAGG
rnacentral:rRNA from 1 species